GGGAAUUAGUGCCAUCCCAUCCCUAAAGUCCUGCAUUAAACACCAUCUAGCGAAGAAGGAAUCAAAGACGAAAUGCUGCCAUCUAGCAAUAAAAAAGGAAAGGCUUACACGGAACUGACGGAACCAAAGUAAACACCAACAUGGCGGCGACCGGCGAGGUGUUAACCGUGAAGUGUUGACUGUCGUUCAAUCGUUCUAUUAACUACCUGUCACUUAUUUUCCUUGCACUGAAUAACUCUCAAGUCUCAAGUUAUUUUAUAGUCUUUCAGUAACUAAGCUUAGAAAAGCGCAAGUGGAACAUGUGAUUAGCACUUAGCAGCAAGAGUUGGAAUGAAGAACAGUUCAGCAGGCCUACAAUUGGACAACUGUGACAGCUAGGAACUUUUGGGAGUUGCUGUUGAUUUCUAUCUCCGAAGUCAGAAUUUCUCAGAAAUAAAUUACUUGAUACAUCAGUCUUCAAUGGUGAAUAAUAACAAAAAGAUGAGGAAUGUGGAUCAAAAACAGUGUUGGAGUAGAAUGUUUGAUUUAUCAUAGAAAUUGGAUAGAAAGGAGGAGAAUAUUCCCAUUUGUUCCAGUAGUAGAAGGAAUAGUCUUGCUGCUGUGGUUGCUGAUCCGUUCGGAAUCCAUUCGAGUGAUUGAAAUCGGACUUGGGACUAACGACGCCUUGUGGACAGCUGGCCAUUCGUAUUGAAGUGGAGACAAUGAUGAUCCGGACGUCGAGCAGUUAAUUGUUUCCACGGGUGGAACAGUCGGAGGAUCCGAAUAAAAUCCAGGAGUUGGAAGGACUUGAGUUGAGACAGACUAACCUUGUCGACUUUGACGAGAAACGCAAGGCGUUGAUCGACGAUGUUGGCGAUUUGUUUCACGAGUUGAUGUUGAGACUCGUGAAGAUCCAAGUUGGCGGGCUCGUCGACGGCAAUUCUGAAACCACCACUGAUGCAAUCAAAAAGAGAAAUUAAUUUCAGAAACUCCAAUCAGCUGGACCAUUCGGCGACGACCUUCUCGAUUGGGAAACGGAUCUCUGGUGAGCUCUGCCCUCUGCGUCGAGUAGCUCCACCUGGACCUGGAUUAGGAGGUCUGUUUCGUUCUUUAGCGAAGGGGUUGCUCCUUUUCCGACUUUGAAAGGAUUAACUGAGUGACAUAAAAAUGCCUCAUUCCUUCUUAAGGCUGUAUGCAUUAACCUAAUAACUAAUCAAUUGAGUGUAUUUAGGUUUACUGAAUUUUUUGCAAGUAAAAAAUUAUCCAGGCGGAAGUACUCAAUCGGCAUUGCUGUCCAGGAUCAACAGCUUAUUUGAGAAUUUAGUUCGGCGUUUGACUUCUCAAUGGUUCCCAGCUGAAAAUGGAUUGUUAAACGAAGAGUAAUUUUAUAAGAUUUUUUUAUAAGCGAAGUGUGUAGAAGCCCACAAGGAAGGACACAAGAAAAUGUUUUAAAAAUCACUUUGAUUAUAAAGUUCGUGAGAAAAAAAGGUUUUGAGGUGAAAGAAGCAAACUCGCUUCGUUCUCACGUCCCUCACACGGUAAAAAACCAUUCGUUGCCGUAAGUUAGGACAAUAGUGACCCAACGACCCCAGUUCCUUGAAGGUGGCAGUCACGACAUUAGGUGAAUAAUUGUGAGUUGAAGAUAAGUCGUUUGGAGGUGCAACACAGUUGGAGUAAAACAUUGGAUUGGGUACAGAAGAUGAACAGAAAGGAUGGAGGAGAGUAUUUGCAGUUGUUCCAGUAAUAGGAGGAAUAGUAUUGUUGCUUUGACUGCUGUUCCGGGCGAACUCUCCGUCCAAUUGCUCCUCCAGCUGGACCUCGUCGUAGAACUGGCGCUGCUGCCCUGAUCGGGAACAUUUUUAAGUGGAACCAACUGCAUAAUAAAUAAUCUGAAGGAGAAAGCAGAGUAAAUGAACUGCCGCUACUUACAGUCAUGCACACCCUUUGGCUUCUUGAGCACAGCCGCAUCGCUGCAAUUUUGUACACGGUGGUUCCGAGACAGACGAAUGAGUUUUACUUUCAACAUGCCCGGCGAAUUGUUAUUGCUGAAAUGCAACACAUAAUUUACAAUGAAUACUUGCCCGUCAUAAUUGUUCCUAUGAUGGCUGCCAAAGUUGCGUUGGGAAAUGGCUAUUUAAAUACUGGAAAUCCGGCGAUAUUUACCGAGAUCUUCAUUGCCGCCUUCCGCAAGGGCCACUCUCAAUUGAAAAGCUUCAUACGACUGUUUGAGAGAGACGGAAGUUUCAGCAGAGAUAGUAACCAACUUAUCAGCUCUCAGAUUCGUUCGAUAACUCCUCCCGGCUUUUUGGAUCCAAUUUCGUGGAUAAGGCUCUUCGGGGCCUCCUUCAUGUACCUGCCGAAGAAGUGGACAGCUCUUUUGCUUUCGACAUCACAAGUCAACUUGUUAAGCCAAAAGGAGUACACUUGGACUGGAUCUGACAGCUCUCAACAUUCAACGAGGAAGAGAUCAACGGCCUGCCAACAUACGCUAAAAUGCUGGCUUUCUUCGGAAAACCUUUGCCGUCUAGUUUCGACCAAUACCGAUAUUUCCGGUGUUCAUGUCAAAAUAAUGAAUGAAGUCGUCUCAUAUCGAUUUUUUAAAAAUCCAUAAUGUAAUGACAUAUUCGUAUCAGGUCGUCAACGCUAUGAAGUUCGUGUACGAGUCAGUGUACGACAUUGACCUGUUUAUUGGCGGAGUGACCAAAUAGGCGAAUACCCAAUAACCGACGCUGUGCUCGGCCCCACAUUCGCCGAUAUCUUCGCCUUUCAAUUUUCGAAUCUGAGGCGGAGUGAUCGUUUCUUUUACAAAUUCAAUGUCGAUCAACCCACCAGCUUCAGAUCAGGUCAACUGGCAGAAAUUCAAAAAGUUUCUUUGGCGCGCAUUAUAUGUGACAACAGCGAUGUCAUCCAACCCAAAGCUUUCCGCACUCCCCACGAGAUUCAAUUAAUAUUUGGAUUUUGGAUGAUGUUCGAGCUGUCUGAAAAAGUAAAAAUCUGUCUCCCUGUCUGUCUGGAACGGGAAGCAGUCCAGCCCAGUCCUGCCGUUCAUUAUGCUGCGAGUAAUCUGUCGACUGUCACUAGGUGGCUAAAACCUAAAAUUAUGUCCACCAGAUGGCGAUGAGUCCAUCGGUUAGCGAGUGACAAUUGUCGCCAUUUUCUCCCGAGACGAAGAGCGAGUGUGAUUCUGAAUGGAAAUCGUUGUGAUGUACGGCAAAUUGAAAAGCCUAGUAUUUCUAUUUCGCUUGGAGCAGCUAUGGUACAUUUUUCCCAAAUGUCGUUAAUGAUGUCUUUUCCCUAUACGGUCCCUGCACCUGCUGCACGUUUUGGUCAAAAAAACUUCAGAACAAUUAAAGCUAACAGCCUGCAAAAGUCUGAGCUCCUUUGUUGCUGCCCCUUAUGCACACAGGUAUUUGAUGCAGCCAGCUGGUUAAGGAAUGUUCCUCUUGCUACCUGUACCUGUAGUCCUGUACUGCUUUUUGAACAUAGUUUCUAUUUCUAGUUCUUUUAACUAUGUUGGUACGACCAACAAUUGUGUAGCUUUUUAUUUGCAGAAAUUUUCUGAAUCAAUAAUAAAAUAAGAUAAGGUUAA